CCUUGAGGGCUUCGGCUUCGCCAUGGGGGCUUCGUCUUGCCCAUGGGGGCUUUGUCGUCUCCAUAGGGUGGAGGUUGGAGUUGCCCAAGAAGACCAAGAGGGCUUCAACUUCUCCAUGGGGUGAAGGUUGGAGGUACCCAAGAAGACCAAGAGGGCUUUGACCUCCCCAUGGGGUGAAGGUUGGAGGUACCCAAGACCAAGAGGGCUUCAACUUCUCCAUGGGGUGAAGGUUGGAGGUACCCAAGAAGACCAAGGGGGCUUCAUCCUUCCCAUGGGGGCUUUGUCAUCUCCAUGGGGGCUUCAUCCUCCCCAUGGGGUGAAGGUUGGAGGUACCCAAGAAGACCAAGAGGGCUUCAACUUCCCCAUGGGGGCUUCGACCUCCCCAUGGGGUGAAGGUUGGAGGUACUCAAGAAGACCAAGAGGGCUUCAACUUCCAACAUGGGGUGAAGGUUGGAGUUGCCCAAGAAGACCAAGAGGGCUUCAACUUCCCCAUGGGGUGAAGGUUGGAGGUACCCAAAAAGACCUUGAGGUCUUCAACCUCCCCAUAGAAACCAUGGGGUGGAGGUUGGAGGUACCCAAGAAGACCUUGAGAU